AUCGACCGCGCGAGCUUCAGGAAACAAGGUGGGGCAGCGCCUCUUUCCAGAACGAAAGAUAGGAAAGCGAAUGUUUCACUCGAAGGCCCGCGAGGACAGGUCUUCGAAAAUGUUGGGGUUUGGCGUGACUUCUCGAAAAAUGAGGCAAACGGACCUCUGUGUGUUGAAGUCUCCGUGUUUCCUGUAACGGUCCCGUCCUCACAUCUUGUCUUUUUUCGAAGCUCGUCCAGCUAGAAAACACAGCGCAAGAACAGGGCCUGGACUCUUACUCGACACAAAACGACUGCACUUCAUCCUUUCUUGAGAGAGCGGAUCCACGCUCUUCUGGAACACAGUUCUGACGCUCUGUUUUGUGUGCGUUGCCAACCACGUUUCUUCAAGGAAAUUCUCUCCGUUUUCCACGCCAUCUGGGUGGCCUGUCGCGGUUGUGUUUCGAGGAACUGACUUUCAUAAAGCACAAAAUGGAGAGAGUUCAGUUUCCUUUUGAAAACCAUCGUGUCGGACUCUCGGUUGCCCUCUAGGUUCAAUAUGGACAAAGUCCCUGCUACCACACUCGUAACCAGAGAGAGAGACAGAGAAAACAGACUCAGAUGCUCGACAGCGAGCAGAGCCAUCGUACUGGGAGAAAGCAUCUCUGAGAAGUCCUAUACGCUUUUUCUGGCGCUUCGACACCACACAAAGCUGCGCUGCAGCUUGAGAUGGUGAACGUAUCGUGUUUUCUCCGGAUCCCAGGUUUCUUGUGCUCUUGUAAGACUGGGUCUCACGCCGCUUGUCCAGCGCCAGUGGCAGCAUCUGCGCAUGACGUGUUAAGUUCGGCGGAGGCUCCCACCGCAGUCUCUCGAACGUUUCAUGCCGGCUUAGUGCCGAGGACGUAACUUCUUGUGAGAGCCGCCGGCUGCAAGGCGGAUAUGGAGUGUGGCAGAAAGAGGUGGAAACAAAAAGAAAGGCGCGUUCUGCACUUGAGGCGACUCUCUACUGGCGGGAGGAGAGGCGCGUCAAAAAAUAGGGAGAGCCGCAAGAGAGCUUCUUCGCUGUCAGCUACAGAGUCGCGGCGUUCUGCAUUCCGACCAUGCGCGAGGUUUGAAGAAGUGGAGCAUCAGUCGGCAGGGAGGUGCGCCAGACAGGACAAAGUGCACCAAAGUGGACCACCGUGUGUUCACAAGAGAGUGGAGAGAAAGGGGGGUUUGGUGAAAACGAAACACAAUUUUUGACACAAAAAUCGGUCUCCUACUCUACGCUUCUUCCACUUUCCGUUUCUUCUUGCCGCGACGAUCUUCGCUGUCCCGAACAAAGUCCCCAAAGACGUUCUCCAUCGCGAGAGGGCUCUCCUCGAUGUGCAGCUUGUCCAGCCGCUCCUGCAACCAAGCACAGCACAGACCUUCUUCUGUUUCUCUGCCUCUCGAAAAAACACGGUUCACCGCUCAAAAGAAACUCGGGAUCUUCGAACAGCGCCGUGCUCGUCUCCCUUUCUAACGCAGUUCUUUUGACGCAGUUCUUUAAACGCGCGCCUUUUACACAUUUCUUCUCCGCUCGGCUUCGACCGGCCAUCGGCGGAGGUUCUUUACGGAGAAAAACGGCGCUUUUGGAGAGAACCCCCAAGUGUCUCCGUGAACGUCCACAGGUUUUGAAAGCGCCGCAACCUGUUUUGCGUCCCACACGCCUUUGCUGCCGAACUUUGUGCAGCGACGCCGACACAGGUGAAACAAGUGCAGUGGACAGGCGCCUGCGAGAGCUGACGGGAGUGCCCCAGCAGAGAGAGGAAACGGAUGGAAAAGAACGAACGUCGCUGAACUCUGUGAAGUGAGGACGCGCUCUGCACGCGCGUUUAUGCGGUGCCCACUUCGCUUUAUGUGAUCGCUUUAUGCUGAAGUCUCUAAACCUUGGUAGAGCACGAACAUAUGGAACUCCGUUUUGCCGGAAGCGGGAUUGGACUGCCUGUAACGUCUUUCUUCUCUUUAGGAGGAAACCUGGAAUGCUCAGAAACUUCAACUGGACGUACCGUGCGUUUUUCCUUAGCCUGAACUCGCUGGGCGUAGGACUGGGCGCGACCCAUGCGCUGAAGAGCGACGAGCUGAGAAGAGAAAAACAUUUGGACGGCGCAUGAGUUUCCGUUGUCCCAAAAGCAGUUGGGGCAGAGAAGAACACACGGCAAGGCAAGAAGACAAAGCUCUUUUUGACGCUUUCAAGCUCGUGCCUCGAGAAAUCCAACGUCGCCCCUCUCACCGUCUCUGUCUGGUUUCGGCAGACAAAAAGAGAGAGACAGAGAGACAGACAGACAAUACCGGUUUCCGAAAAAGGCAGGUAGACACGAACUCUUCUCUCGCGUUGCCUUCCGACUGAGCCGUCGAGUUGCUCAACUCUUUCAUCUCUUUUCAAACAUGCACCUCGAUUCGGAAACCAUCUCGGUUCGUCAGCAGAGACACACAAGCCGUCCUGUCGUCCACACUGCGUUUUUCUCUCUCUGUCUCCUCUUCUCCAGACACAUACAAACAGCGUGCGUCCUGCCCUGUCGGAUUCUUCUCUCCACAGCGGCAACAC
rnacentral:lncRNA from 1 species